rnacentral:rRNA from 1 species
CCUACGGGACGCACCAGUGGGGAAUAUUGCACAAUGGGCGCAAGCCUGAUGCAGCCAUGCCGCGUGUGUGAAGAAGGCCUUCGGGUUGUAAAGCACCUUCAGCGAGGAGGAAGGUGGUGAACUUAAUACGUUCAUCAAUUGACGUUACCCGCAGAAGAAGCACCGGCUAACUCCGUGCCAGCAGCCGCGGUAAUACGGAGGGUGCAAGCGUUAAUCGGAAUUACUGGGCGUAAAGCGCACGCAGGCGGUUUGUUAAGUCAGAUGUGAAAUCCCCGGGCUCAACCUGGGAACUGCAUCUGAUACUGGCAAGCUUGAGUCUCGUAGAGGGGGGUAGAAUUCCAGGUGUAGCGGUGAAAUGCGUAGAGAUCUGGAGGAAUACCGGUGGCGAAGGCGGCCCCCUGGACGAAGACUGACGCUCAGGUGCGAAAGCGUGGGGAGCAAACAGGAUUAGAUACCCGAGUAGUC